GAAUCGAUGAUUGAAUGGUUAAAGCAUCCAUCUCAUAAUUGGCAAAUCUGUGGGUUCAAUCCCUACUAGAUGCA
rnacentral:tRNA from 1 species